CCAAGGGGGGGAGGCUUACACAUGCAAGUCGAGCGCCCCGCAAGGGGAGCGGCAGACGGGUGAGUAACGCGUGGGAACGUACCUUUUGCUACGGAAUAACUCAGGGAAACUUGUGCUAAUACCGUAUGUGCCCUUCGGGGGAAAGAUUUAUCGGCAAAGGAUCGGCCCGCGUUGGAUUAGCUAGUUGGUGAGGUAAAGGCUCACCAAGGCGACGAUCCAUAGCUGGUCUGAGAGGAUGAUCAGCCACACUGGGACUGAGACACGGCCCAGACUCCUACGGGAGGCAGCAGUGGGGAAUAUUGGACAAUGGGCGCAAGCCUGAUCCAGCCAUGCCGCGUGAGUGAUGAAGGCCCUAGGGUUGUAAAGCUCUUUCACCGGUGAAGAUAAUGACGGUAACCGGAGAAGAAGCCCCGGCUAACUUCGUGCCAGCAGCCGCGGUAAU
rnacentral:rRNA from 1 species